GAUACAAGUGUCUUCGAAACUGUGAGACCCACUUGUGCGGUAUCAUGAGGGUUACUGAGCUGGCAUGUCACACAGCUCACCUUCUGAUGGAGCAGGGAACUGGGCAGGGACAGAGGGGCUGGUAGCACCCGCACCAGCGAGGAGCAUGGGCUCCAUGCCAGAGGCCACGUGCUAAGAGUCCUCAGAUAGACUGUGGCGAUGGCUGAGCCGGUCUCACCAUCCUCAGAGGCGCAGGGCAUGCGGGUGGGAGGGUUCAGCUGGGAAAGGAAUGAAAUAAAAGGGCUGCCUCCAGCCACACCUGGCCUUCCCCCUCCUGGGGCCCUAUCUGACCCUGCGCUUCCUCCUCUAGAACAGGGUUCUUCACUUUGCCUGGUGCCGAGGCCUCCUGGGCAGUCUGAUGAGGUCUAAGAAGCGUUCUCAGAGUCCUGUUUUUCAAUGUCCACAAUAGGAUUACAAAGGAAAUGAGUUAUUUUGAAAUACAAUCAUCAAAAUAUUUUUAAAGUUGUGAUAUAGUAAUGUGCAUCUUUAUCAAGAGCUAGCAGCUGAGCCAAUAACUACUGUCCUUUUCAGGUAGCAAGACUAUCCAGGACAUGGUGAGAUAUGUGCAGCUGUGGGGUGGUGUUGGGUGGUGCGGAAACCUGAUUCCGGCUGGGAGCAGAGUGCAGCACUGCAAUGGUGUGAUGCUCACUUCUCGGGAAUUCUAACCUUCCCUAGGAGAUGAGUGAACAUAAGUGUGUGGGUUUUUCUCCUCAUCCGAGUUCACAGACUCCCAAAUUCUACUCCCUGAAACUUGAAGGGUCUGUCAACACCGGGACGAGGAUCCCACCCUAGGCCAGUCUCGGGCUGUCCUCAGGGGGGAGGGGAAUUCUCAAACUAAGCCCCCUCCAUCCCCUCAGCAGGGAAAGGGGAGGGAGAGAAAACAAACCAAGGAAACAAAACUACUUUUCCAAAUUCCUUUACCUGCAGAUAAUCCUUUCACUCUAUAAUUGGAGAAUGGCCUAAAAGGUAGGUUCUGUGUUAGAAUAUGGGGAUGAAUAGGUUUCAACAACAGGACAAGUGAUCACUUUCUAACGUUCAUGAGAAGUCGAAGGUGUGCAGCGUGAUGGCCCUGGCCAAGGCUGGGAGGGAGGUGCUGGCUGAGGCUGCAAAUCCAGGCACAACAUCAUGAAAUGUAGGUUUUCUUUCCCUCCUUCCUAAAAAGGCAAAGCUGUUUCAAAGCGCUUUAUGGUCUCUCCAGGUGCCCGCAGCUGGCUUAGCAGGAAUUCUGGUUUGGAUUUUCUUCUUAUCCUGACUGUCAUCACUAACUUCUGGCAACCAAGAUCCUGAUCAACUAAUUCCACCCACUGCAUAAUCCCCAAAGCAGAACUAACAAGAAACAACAUCUGCUGGUUACAGCAGGGUGACAUAUAGCAUUUUUGUUUUUACAAAACUUGAGUUCAAAAAGAAUCUUCAAAAUUAAAAUUAACAUUGAAGGACCUGGACGAGAGCCCACUGCUGCCAGACUAUGUUCUUUAAGAACAAACAGAACUUCUUCGCCGAAGACGCCGGGGUUCACUUUUCCUAAACCUGAUGGGGCCUAAGUAAGAGCCGACCCUCAAGACUGAACGCUUUUUUCUAUUUUCUAUUUCUGUCGCCUAUUUCUGGGAACAAAAGCUGCUUUGUACCUGAAAUUUAAAUCAAUAGCUCAGGAAGAACAGUUAAAGAAUGAAUAUAAUUAGAGAGGCUUUGGGGUUUUAAUCACUGUUUCUGUAUUUCUUUCAAAAUCGAACAGUCCCUUCUAUCACAAACUUGUUCAGCUAUAGUAGACAAGCUGCCUGGCUGCUCAUACCCACACCAGAAUCACCACGCCCCGCAAGCUCGCCUUCCAAAUACAUUUACCUCAUGCAAUAAUGAGGGCUUCGGAGCACUUUCUCAAGCCGACUCCUUAGCAGGUGCUGCUAGCAGACUAUCCUACACCUACGGGCAUUCCCAUAAAUGCUGUCUGAGUCAAAACGCAGCGGACUGGCACUCAUUUACAGCGACUGUUUACAAGUGGUAGUGAAAAGAAAGAAGGAGAAAGCUUAAAUGUCAGCUAGUGUUGAAAGUCAGUCACACUUCCCAUGAUCCGGCCAGCCUGUACCACACGCAUGGAGGUUUCCCAUGUGUCCUAAGGCGACGUCUGCUUUUCUACCCCCUCUCUGACCCUCGCCACCCAGCGUCCAUGGGAAGAGAGCCCAAAGCCAUUGGAAGGUGUACAGAGAACAUCAAGCUUCACCCAGUCCCACUGCUCACACUCAGUGUCGGAUCUGGUCUGAGGCCACCAGAUCCACGUUCUUUACACUGACCGCUUACUUACAGCCUCCCUAAGCCAAAGGAGAAUUAGUACCUUGGACAAUUCCCCCCACAGAGCUGGUAAAUUUACUUACCUCGACAAUUUAGCAAAGAAGAAACAACAAAAGAAAAUGCCCCGGUAAACGUUUCUGCCCCAUCACUAGGCUAAUAAAAACUCACUGCUUCUUAGAGUAUUAUACAAAAAAUAAAGGAUGGAAAAU